rnacentral:RNase_P_RNA from 1 species
GGGGCAGAUCAGGUCAUCGCUCCAGCGCUCGGAGGUCGUCGCGCAGGUCGCGAUCGCCCUUCGGGCGACGCUGGGGAGGAAAGUCCGGGCUCCACAGAGCGGGACGCCGGGCAACGCCCGGGGUCGUCACUCACGUGGGUGACGGCACAGACAGUGCCACAGAAAACAAACCACCCCAGCGCCGCUUCGGCGGCGCGCGAAGGCGCUCGCCUUCGGGCGACUUCGGGGAAAGGGUGAAAAGGCGGGGUAAGAGCCCACCGCCCGACCGGCAACGGUCGGGGCACGGAAAACCUCGUUCGGAGCAAGGCCAAGCAGCGGGGGGUUGCUCGCCCGUCGGGCCUCAGGGGUCCGACAACCCGCGGGUAGGCCGCAUGAGGGCGCGGGAAACCGCGGCCCCUAGAGAGAUGGUGACCCUCGCGACAGAACCCGGCUUAUCGAUCUGCCCUUUUU